UGGGAAUCUAUUUUUCAUCAAACCCUGGAGGGCUGUAUGGAAAGAAGGAGUUUACAUAAUGAAUACAGGAUUUAAGCACACAACAAUGAAUUAGCUUCUCUGUGCUAAACAGAAUUUGUGCCAAGCGAUACUUAGCAACAAUAUGGAAACAAAAAUAUAUUUUUGAAAAAAGUGAGUAAGGCGAGCAUAUUUCUCCAUUUUUUUCCCCUCAUAUUAUCAUGCAUUUGAAUGUGGGAGUGGGUGGGGGACAGGGAACAAGUGAUUUCAAUUCGCGGGAGCAGAAGUGAACCCUUGAAAAUGCUACUUUAGCCAUUCUAUAAGGUGACCAAAGCUGAGAUAAGUUGUUAUCUUACCCAGGAUUAGGGUCAUCAUGUUAGCACAGAUUACUGAACAAGCGUGACCCAUCAGGUGGGACCUGCAGGCACGAACCUAGUAGCACUCUGUCCCUGCAAAGACACAGGCUCUUUCCUCUGUCUUCAGAACUCAGAUCUGAUGUUACCUCACCCAGGAAGGCUUCCCGAAUCUUAGCCAUCAUUCUUUGUAAAUGCACCAAGUUGGGGUAAAAAUUCCCUGGCCCUGUAUAAACGCUUUGGUUGGUCUCCUGUUUUUUCUGCUUGCUUAUAGGUGUCUUACGCAUGAAAAAUCACCUCUGUCCAUUUGAAAGAAGAGAUCUAUUACAAAAGAUCAUCAAAGGCCAAGUAGACAAAACAUACUUGAUGUUUAUAAGAGACUAUCAAUGGCAUAUCAAAGGUCACAAGUUUCUUCUCAUCACAAUAUCAAAACUACAAGAAGGCAAGUCCAGUGUACAAGCCCAUUUCAGGAAUUUUCCUUUGGCCAAAGCAAAUCAUAAGUCUAAAUCCAACAUCCAUGAAAGAUUUUGCCUUCCAAUUUCUAAAUCCGCUGGCAACUGUGAUUUCCAACCUGUCGUCUUCUCAGACCAGUAAGACCACUCCUUUCUGUUGGGUCCCUAAUCCAUGGUAAGGCAGCAAACUGGAAAGGCCUCACGGACAAAGUUAGGUAAAUGCCUACCUUGAGUAUUUCUUUUGAAUCGAGGAUCACAGUCUCUCAAUUUUCUGGGUCUGUUUUUGCUUUCCAGUGCCAUCAAAUCGUUUAUUCUUCCUCUGCUUUUCCAAGUGUUACUCAACUGAGGUUUGGUUAGUUUCAGGCAGUGGCUUGAACAUUAUACACAGAAGUGGAGGCCAGACCUUUGUAUCCUGUGCUCUGAGCCUAGGCAGCACCUCGGUGCCCCAGUUGUUUGACAAUUCCAUUCAAGGGUUAAGCUGUCGUUAGCACUCAUUUAUCUCUGGGUUUUGUCCUAGUUUCCCUUUCAAAAUUGUUGCUUUCGCUCAGUUAGCAGCAUUUAAAGAUAAUUAUUUUUAGUGUAUUUUAUCUGAUAUUGUAGUUGUAUCAAGAGAGAAAAUUGUUUGGGUAAUUCUAUCCUGCCAUAUAACUGAAAACAGAAGUGUUAGAUUUAUUUUCCACACUCAUGACAAAAAUGUGAAUCUAAAAAGUAAAUAUAAGCAAGCAUACUACUCCCAUUAUAAAAAUGAUAAAUACCUCACCAAUCCUUCUAAUUCUAAGCUCCUCAAAUGGGAUUCCGUUCGUUCAGCCCUUAAAUGAGUCAAGUCUUGCCAGUCUCACCAGUCUCAUUUUGAACAACUCCCUUUCUUUCCUUCCUUUUCAACAACACAAAUUUGAUUGUGCCCAGACAUACUGUACUGCGUCAUAGUCCAAUGCUUUGUCUUCACUGCCUCAAUUUCAGAACUUUGUAACUUUUACUCUCCCCUGCAGGUAAAUAAAGCCACUCAUUUCAAGUACCAACUCCAGGAAGGCUUUCCUGAAACCUCUUUAACACAACAUGCACGUGCGUACACACACACACACACACACACACACACACACACACACGCUUGCAUUUAUGUUUAUCACCGUAUUAACUGCAGUUAUAGAUCUUGUGCCAUGGAGUUUCCGGUAUUUUUUUUGUAAUGUUUAUUUAUUUUUGAGAGAAACAAAGUGCAAGCCAGGGUGGUGCAGAGAGAGAGGGAGACACAGAAUGUGAAGCAGGCUCCAGGCUUCAAGCUGUCAGCGC